rnacentral:rRNA from 1 species
GACGAACGCUGGCGGCGUGCUUAACACAUGCAAGUCGAACGAAGAGCGAUGGAAGCUUGCUUCUAUCAAUCUUAGUGGCGAACGGGUGAGUAACGCGUAAUCAACCUGCCCUUCAGAGGGGGACAACAGUUGGAAACGACUGCUAAUACCGCAUACGAUCUAAUCUCGGCAUCGAGGAUAGAUGAAAGGUGGCCUCUACAUGUAAGCUAUCACUGAAGGAGGGGAUUGCGUCUGAUUAGCUAGUUGGAGGGGUAACGGCCCACCAAGGCGAUGAUCAGUGGCCGGUCUGAGAGGAUGAACGGCCACAUUGGGACUGAGACACGGCCCAGACUCCUACGGGAGGCAGCAGUGGGGAAUCUUCCGCAAUGGACGAAAGUCUGACGGAGCAACGCCGCGGGAGUGAUGACGGCCUUCGGGUUGUAAAGCUCUGUUAAUCGGGACGAAAGGCCUUCUUGCGAAUAGUGAGAAGGAUUGACGGUACCGGAAUAGAAAGCCACGGCUAACUACGUG